rnacentral:rRNA from 1 species
GGGUUGUGAGGUUAAGCGACUAAGCGUAUACGGUGGAUGCCCUGGCAGUCAGAGGCGAUGAAGGACGUGCUAAUCUGCGAAAAGCGCCGGCGAGGUGAUAUGAACCCUUGACCCGGCGAUGUCCGAAUGGGGAAACCCAGUGUGAUUCGUCACACUAUCGUUAACUGAAUACAUAGGUUAACGAGGCGAACCGGGGGAACUGAAACAUCUAAGUACCCCGAGGAAAAGAAAUCAACCGAGAUUCCCCCAGUAGCGGCGAGCGAACGGGGAGCAGCCCGGAGUCUGAAUCAGCUUGUGUGUUAGUGGAACGGUCUGGAAAGUCCGACGGUACAGGGUGAUAGUCCCGUACACGAAAGCACACUUGCUGUGAACUCGAAGAGUAGGGCGGGACACGUGGUAUCCUGUCUGAAUAUGGGGGGACCAUCCUCCAAGGCUAAAUACUCCUGACUGACCGAUAGUGAACCAGUACCGUGAGGGAAAGGCGAAAAGAACCCCGGCGAGGGGAGUGAAAAAGAACCUGAAACCGUGUACGUACAAGCAGUGGGAGCACCUUCGUGGUGUGACUGCGUACCUUUUGUAUAAUGGGUCAGCGACUUAUAUUCUGUAGCAAGGUUAACCGUAUAGGGGAGCCGAAGGGAAACCGAGUCUUAACUGGGCGUUAAGUUGCAGGGUAUAGACCCGAAACCCGGUGAUCUAGCCAUGGGCAGGUUGAAGGUUGGGUAACACUAACUGGAGGACCGAACCGACUAAUGUUGAAAAAUUAGCGGAUGACCUGUGGCUGGGGGUGAAAGGCCAAUCAAACCGGGAGAUAGCUGGUUCUCCCCGAAAGCUAUUUAGGUAGCGCCUCGUGAACUCAUCUUCGGGGGUAGAGCACUGUUUCGGCUAGGGGGCCAUCCCGGCUUACCAACCCGAUGCAAACUACGAAUACCGAAGAAUGUUAUCACGGGAGACACACGGCGGGUGCUAACGUCCGUCGUGAAGAGGGAAACAACCCAGACCGCCAGCUAAGGUCCCAAAGUCAUGGUUAAGUGGGAAACGAUGUGGGAAGGCACAGACAGCCAGGAUGUUGGCUUAGAAGCAGCCAUCAUUUAAAGAAAGCGUAAUAGCUCACUGGUCGAGUCGGCCUGCGCGGAAGAUGUAACGGGGCUAAACCAUGCACCGAAGCUGCGGCAGCGACACUAUGUGUUGUUGGGUAGGGGAGCGUUCUGUAAGCCGUUGAAGGUGUGCUGUGAGGCAUGCUGGAGGUAUCAGAAGUGCGAAUGCUGACAUAAGUAACGAUAAAGCGGGUGAAAAGCCCGCUCGCCGGAAGACCAAGGGUUCCUGUCCAACGUUAAUCGGGGCAGGGUGAGUCGACCCCUAAGGCGAGGCCGAAAGGCGUAGUCGAUGGGAAACAGGUUAAUAUUCCUGUACUUGGUGUUACUGCGAAGGGGGGACGGAGAAGGCUAUGUCAGCCGGGCGACGGUUGUCCCGGUUUAAGCAUGUAGGCGGAGGUUCCAGGUAAAUCCGGUACCUUAUUAACGCUGAGGUGUGAUGACGAGGCACUACGGUGCUGAAGUGAUAAAUGCCCUGCUUCCAGGAAAAGCCUCUAAGCAUCAGGUAACACGAAAUCGUACCCCAAACCGACACAGGUGGUCAGGUAGAGAAUACCAAGGCGCUUGAGAGAACUCGGGUGAAGGAACUAGGCAAAAUGGUGCCGUAACUUCGGGAGAAGGCACGCUGAUGUGUAGGUGAAGUCCCUGCGGACGGAGCUGAAAUCAGUCGAAGAUACCAGCUGGCUGCAACUGUUUAUUAAAAACACAGCACUGUGCAAACACGAAAGUGGACGUAUACGGUGUGACGCCUGCCCGGUGCCGGAAGGUUAAUUGAUGGGGUUAGCUGUAAGGCGAAGCUCUUGAUCGAAGCCCCGGUAAACGGCGGCCGUAACUAUAACGGUCCUAAGGUAGCGAAAUUCCUUGUCGGGUAAGUUCCGACCUGCACGAAUGGCGUAAUGAUGGCCAGGCUGUCUCCACCCGAGACUCAGUGAAAUUGAACUCGCUGUGAAGAUGCAGUGUACCCGCGGCAAGACGGAAAGACCCCGUGAACCUUUACUAUAGCUUGACACUGAACACUGGUCCUUGAUGUGUAGGAUAGGUGGGAGGCUUUGAAGCGUGGACGCCAGUCUGCGUGGAGCCGCCCUUGAAAUACCACCCUUUAAUGGCUGGUGUUCUAACGUAGACCCGUAAUCCGGGUUGCGGACAGUGUCUGGUGGGUAGUUUGACUGGGGCGGUCUCCUCCCAAAGAGUAACGGAGGAGCACGAAGGUUGGCUAAUCCUGGUCGGACAUCAGGAGGUUAGUGCAAUGGCAUAAGCCAGCUUGACUGCGAGCGUGACGGCGCGAGCAGGUGCGAAAGCAGGUCAUAGUGAUCCGGUGGUUCUGAAUGGAAGGGCCAUCGCUCAACGGAUAAAAGGUACUCCGGGGAUAACAGGCUGAUACCGCCCAAGAGUUCAUAUCGACGGCGGUGUUUGGCACCUCGAUGUCGGCUCAUCACAUCCUGGGGCUGAAGUAGGUCCCAAGGGUAUGGCUGUUCGCCAUUUAAAGUGGUACGCGAGCUGGGUUUAGAACGUCGUGAGACAGUUCGGUCCCUAUCUGCCGUGGGCGCUGGAGAAUUGAGGGGGGCUGCUCCUAGUACGAGAGGACCGGAGUGGACGCAUCACUGGUGUUCGGGUUGUCAUGCCAAUGGCACUGCCCGGUAGCUAAAUGCGGAAGAGAUAAGUGCUGAAAGCAUCUAAGCACGAAACUUGCCCCGAGAUGAGUUCUCCCUGAGACUUUAAGUCUCCUGAAGGAACGUUGAAGACGACGACGUUGAUAGGUCGGGUGUGUAAGCGCAGCGAUGCGUUGAGCUAACCGAUACUAAUGAACCGUGAGGCUUAACCUUACAACGCCGAAGGUGUUU